AUGCUGGAGGCCACCCAGCCCAAACCAUCCCCUUCCCUGCAGCUGGAUCCCCCCAGCACGGCUCAUCCAGAGCUCCAAAAUCAGGGACAUCUUUGGAGCAAAGGGACAGCUCCACCCUCCACAGGGACCUGGGGCUUUUUAUGGAAAGAUCCAAGACCAGAGAGAUUUUUGGAGCAAAAGGACAACUCCCAGCCCUGCAAAACCCACCCAGGGCUGGGUCCUGCCCUCCCCAUCCAUCCCCUGCCCUUCCCAGAUUCCCCAUUCCUGGCUGGGGCUCUCGGCUCUUCCCUUCCCUUUGAUCCUCUCCUCCUGCCUUCUCCUGCUGGAUGUGGCCCACAAGUUCCUGGAUAUUCUCCAGCUGCAGUUCCAGCAGGGAGAGCCCCAGGGCUGGCACAGCUGGCAGAGCAGCCCACACCACCCUACAACUCCAGGAACUCCUCAAAUUUCCCAGCUGGAACAGCCGGGGGUCUCCCUGCGGCUCCAGCGCGUGGCACACGCAGGAACGCGAGGAAAAGAAACGGAAAAGCCAUGGAAAAUCCCUGGGGGAGCACAGCUGGAAGGACCAGCACAUCUGGGCACUGCUCCAGCUGCUCCUGGCUGGGAUCACCACGAGGGAUCGGAAUUUGGGCAGAGGGGACGAAGCCAGGCUGGGCUUUGGGAAGGGAAGGUGCUGGAGGAGCUCCGCUCACUCUGGGGUUCAUUUUCCCAAAAAUCUGCUCUGCAGCCGGGGGAUGGCUCCUCCUGUGCGGAGCUUCCUCCCCUCUUCCCCAUCCCUCUUCCCACCGGGAAUCCCUGAGGAGCCUCCUGCAGGAGGGAGCAGCUGCCUGCCCCAGGGGUUCCAUCCAUCCCUGCGGCUCUGCUCAUGGAGAAAUGACAUUUCCAGGAAUUUUUGGGGAUAUGGGCUUCCCCAAAAAAGCCUGCCCGUGUUCAGCUCCAUCCCAGCUCCUCAGAGGGAGGCACAGGAUCACAUCCUCCAUCCUCCUUUCUUUUUCCCCUUCAAACUCCAACAGCCCCCAUGGAGCUGAGGUGACCCAAGAGGCUGUGACAUCAUUAACACCACAAAAAGUCAGCUCCAAACCCAAAAAUUUCUCCUGGAGCUCGCCUGCCUCUCCAGGGGGAGAGCAAAAGCGUGGAAGCAGGAGAUAA
rnacentral:lncRNA from 1 species